UAGAUAGCCAUGCAUGUCUAAGUAUAAGCAAUUAUACAGCGAAACUGCGAAUGGCUCAUUAAAUCAGUUAUCGUUUAUUUGAUAGUACCUUACUACAUGGAUAACCGUGGUAAUUCUAGAGCUAAUACAUGCUGAAAACCCCGACUUCGGAAGGGGUGUAUUUAUUAGAUUAAAAACCAAUGCCCUCCGGGGCUCACUGGUGAUUCAUGAUAACUUCUCGAAUCGCACGGCCUUGCGCCGGCGAUGGUUCAUUCAAAUUUCUGCCCUAUCAACUUUCGACGGCUGGGUCUUGGCCAGCCGUGGUGACAACGGGUAACGGAGGGUUAGGGCUCGACCCCGGAGAAAACGCCUGAGAAACGGCGUUUACAUCCAAGGAAGGCAGCAGGCGCGCAAAUUACCCAAUGCCGACACGGCGAGGUAGUGACGAGAAAUACUGAUACAGGGCUCUUUUGGGUCUUGUAAUUGGAAUGAGUACAAUUUAAAUCUCUUAACGAGGAACAAUUGGAGGGCAAGUCUGGUGCCAGCAGCCGCGGUAAUUCCAGCUCCAAUAGCGUAUAUUAAAGUUGUUGCAGUUAAAAAGC
rnacentral:rRNA from 1 species